rnacentral:rRNA from 1 species
AUUGAACGCUGGCGGCAGGCUUAACACAUGCAAGUCGAACGAGCGGCGGACGGGUGAGUAAUGUCUGGGAAACUGCCUGAUGGAGGGGGCUACCUACUGGAAACGGUAGCUAAUACCGCAUACCAUCAGAUGUGCCCAUAUGGGAUUAGCUAGUAGGGGGGGUAAUGGCUCACCUAGGCGACGAUCCCUAGCUGGUCUGAGAGGAUGACCAGCAACAGUGGAACUGAGACACGGUCCAGACUCCGACGGGAGACAGCAGUGGGGAAUAUUGCACAAGGGGCGGAAGCCUGAUGCAGCCAUGCCGCGUGUGUGAAGAAGGCCUUCGGGUUGUAAAGCACUUGCAGCGAGGAGGCGUUACUCGAAGAAGAAGCACCGGCUAACUCCGUGCCAGCAGCCGCGGUAAUUC